ensembl:lncRNA
UGCUUUUCCUUAGGCCAUUCAGAAUACUUGUGGGUAAGAUGUGCAAAUCCCUUCCAGCAGAGUGCAUUGCAGCUUGAGGAAGAAUAUAUUCACCUAAAAAGGAGAGUGGAGGCUCAAAUAAGUCAUCUCAAAGCAACAACAUCCUUAGAAUAAUUAAGACAAUUUCUAAGUAUUUAAUUUAGGUGUUUAACUUGAGUUCUAGACAGUUUACCAAAAAUGUCAUGCAUUAAAUUCCAUUUUCUCAUCAAGUCAUUGAAGGGCUUAAGGUUUUUAUCAUGGAAAUUAUACAUACCAUCUUUUUCUGUCAUUCAUUUUUUAAUAUCUGAGAUAACACUGAGAAGCAAGAGGGACAUAGUGUGAAAUUUUCAUUUUUCAUGCCACAUACCAAGUAUUACUUCAGCCAUUCUACAACGAUAUAGGUGAAGGAAGACCAAAGUCGCUUAAUAAUUUGAACAACAUCUGGGGCCGAAACAGUAAAGGUGGAAUCUGAAGAGGAGGAAGCACAAAAGAAGAGCAAUUCGUUGAGAGUAGACGGGGAAAAUAUUUAUGUCAGACAUAGCAAUUUAAUGUUGGAGGUUUGUAUAUAAUACAAGAAACACUUUCUUUUCUCAUGGGCUGCCAGGCUGCAUGGGAUUGGGAGGUCACCUGCAGGCUGUUAUGUACACAGUGCAUGAAGUGCAUGGGGAAAAACAGCUUGGAAAUGCUGCAUGUUAUAAUUCUAGUUUCUCAGUUUUAGAAGUUUUAGAAAAGAAAAGAAAACCCUUAGCUUGAAUGUUAAUGUGUAUUUUUGCUAGAUGUUUUCAAGGUGGCAAGUGGUAAUAAUAGCCCUAUUUAGAUAUAUCCAACACAUUAGCUGAUUCCUCAACAUAAAUAGGAUUUUUUUUAUACAUUACUACCUAAAGUGUGC